CCCGCUCAGCAACUUAAGGAAUUGACGGGGGCCCGCACAAGCGGUGGAGCACGUGGUUUAAUUCGAAGCAACGCGAAGAACCUUACCAGGCCUUGACAUGCAGAGAACUUUCCAGAGAUGGAUUGGUGCCUUCGGGAACUCUGACACAGGUGCUGCAUGGCUGUCAUCAGCUCGUGUCGUGAGAUGUUGGGUUAAGUCCCGCAACGAGCGCAACCCUUGCCUUUAGUUGCCAGCAGUUCGGCUGGGCACUCUAAAGGGACUGCCGGUGUUAAACCGGAGGAAGGUGGGGAUGACGUCAAGUCCUCAUGGCCUUUAUGACCAGGGCUACACACGUACUACAAUGGCCGAUACAAAGGGCAGCGACACUGCGAGGUGAAGCCAAUCCCGUAAAAUCGGUCUCAGUCCGGAUUGGAGUCUGCAACUCGACUCCAUGAAGUUGGAAUCGCUAGUAAUCGUGGAUCCAGCAUGCCACGGUGAAUACGUUCCCGGGCCUU
rnacentral:rRNA from 1 species